rnacentral:lncRNA from 1 species
GUUAAAUAAAUUCUAGUGUUCUUAGAAAAUUCUAUGAAGAGAUGAACUUUAUUACACAUAGCAGCCUUUUUCCUUUGCUCUUAGCCUCAAAUUCCAGAAAGCAUUAAGCAGCAUUCUUAAGAUUGGGUAAAAGAGUCUUGUACAUUUUUCUUUGCCUAAUUAGAUUCGUCUCUUGGUAUGAUAUUUCUAUGUACUAUGCAGUUUCUACUUUUUUCUUUUAUUAGAAUUUAUUUUUUUCAACUCUACUAUUGUGCUUAGAAAGAGAAAUGAUUUUUCUUCUUUCAUUUUUUUCCUUGGGAUACAAAAACUUUGUUGUUGCUGUUGUUGUUGUUGUUUUAAAGUACAAUUAUUUUCCUUAUUCAAUUUCUAAUCUGUUUACUCUGUACCUGCAAUACCUAUCAAGGUUUAUUUAAAAAUAAAUUAAGAAUAAGUUAAAAUCAAUGAUGAGGGAAAACGAUAUAUACAUAUAUAUUGUAUACAUAUAUAUGUAUGGCAUUCGUAGAUACUUAAAACAAAAGUGGACUUACCCUGUGUACUGGUCUGCAAUAUAUAUAUAUAAUUUUUUUUUUUUUUAAGUUUGUUCUAGCAACUUGUAUUUUUACUUAACAGUCUAUCUUGGGCAUCUCUCCAGGUUCAAUAUAAACAUCU